CCGAGACACAUAAUCCCCUGGCAUACUUUGCAGCCCUGCGGAGAGAAAGAGGUGGUGGUGAGUGGUGGGGACUGGCUGCCGACAUUGGGCCGUGAAGCUCAUCUGCUCGGGCACAGAAGGCCGGGAUUGAGCCCAAGGAGGGAUGCAGAGUCACGGAUACGCGAGCGCAAGUUGCCUUUGUGGAAUCAGAGUCUAUGUAUGGACUCACAAUGAAGGCAACAGGAACGAUUCCCAGGAGCAUAUGCAAUGGAGUUGUUUAUGAUCUGGAAGCACGAGAGAGGCAGAGCCAGCCUGAAGAUAACUGAAGUCACAAGGAGUGGUGGCACCAAGCCCUGUGAGGGCUCUCAGGUGGGCUCCAUUCCCCAUGACCUGACUCCAGCCACCUGCCUUCGUCUCCCCACUUGUAAAAGCAUGCUGGGAAUACAGGGCAGGGAAUUCGUUGUCGUUAAUGAGGGGCUCAGGAGGAGAGAUGGGUUAAAUAGGUGUCAAGGUUUAUCAACAGCUAUUUAUUUAGCUCUUGAGCCUGAUCACUUGGAAUCUCUCCCAAGUAUUUGUGCCAUUCAAGUAGAUGCUAUACAACAAGAACAUACGUUGCUGAACAAAGGCCUCAUAUGAAGCCGAAAUUGAUAGGAUUACUAAGCACAACUGUUAAACCAAACCCGUAUUUUUAAACACAUUAAAAAAAUAUAUAUAUAAUCAAUAACAGUUAUCAAUUAAUUCUUUCCCCCGUGCUCACCUCUGGCCACAAAAAAAAAAAAAAAAAAAAAAAAAGAAAAAUCAGACGCACAACUCAGUCAAACCUUUCAGUGGGUUUGGGAGAACAAUAAGAAAAAAAAUUGGACCUAAAACAAUAAAACCUCCUGCUUUCUGUGGGCCUCUGCCUUCUGCUUGGAUUGCUGUAGCUGAUGGGAACUGACAGGUGUAUUGUUUCGGAGAGCUAUAAGCUCCAUAAUCAUCAAGGGUGAAAGGCAUACGCUAUUGCUAAGUAGGUUCAAUUGGCUUUAGUUCUAAGUAAGAGCGCGCUGUGAAUGCGCCGAACACCUUGGAAUCAGGUCUCAAGGCUCUAGCAAUGAAUAGCUGCUUAAUCUAGCCUAAAGGAACAGUUUUGAACUAAUGAAAAUUGCUUAUAAAAUAUACUGUACUCACAGCUCUUUAAUCAAAAAAGAUGAUAAUAUUUUUUGUAAUAACCUAUUAAUUUAAUUGGUCACGAAGCAUAAAAUACAUCAUUUAAAUUUAAUUGACCCAGAAACUAAGAAACAAUAUUUAAAUUAACUAAGCUAGAAAUUUUCAUGAUGAGGUAAUAAGGCUGUUGCAUUCCCAAGCUCAGAGGAAUGUUUUCACAGCUAAUUGUUAAAA